AAUAAAUUGCCUGAUUAAAGGAUUACUAUGAUAGAGUAAAUUAAAUAAUUUUAUAUUAUAUUUAUUA
rnacentral:tRNA from 1 species